AAUCAACGCUGGCGGCGCGCCUAACACAUGCAAGUCGAGCGAGAAAGCCCCCGCAAGGGGGUGAGUAAAGCGGCGAACGGGUGAGUAACACGUGGGCAACCUACCCUUCAGUGGGGGAUAACCCGGGGAAACCUGGGCUAAUACCGCAUAACAUCCCGGUGACUGCGGUCGCUGGGUUCAAAGGAGCAAUUCGCUGAAGGAGUGGCCUGCGGCCGAUUAGCUAGUUGGUGAGGUAACGGCCCACCAAGGCAAAGAUCGGUAGCCGGUCUGAGAGGACGCACGGCCACACUGGAACUGAAACACGGCCCAGACUCCUACGGGAGGCAGCAGUGGGGAAUCUUGCACAAUGCCCGAAAGGGUGAUGCAGCGACGCCGCGUGAGUGAUUAAGCUCUUCGGGGUGUAAAGCUCUUUCGGUGGGGACGAUAGUGACGGUACCCGCAGAAGAAGCCCCGGCAAACUACGUGCCAGCCGCCCUGUAACAC
rnacentral:rRNA from 1 species